CGCUGGCGACGGUUCAUUCAAAUUUCUGCCCUAUCAACUUUCGAUGGUAAGGUAUUGGCUUACCAUGGUUUCAACGGGUAACGGGGAAUUAGGGUUCGAUUCCGGAGAGGCAGCCUGAGAAACGGCUACCACAUCCAAGGAAGGCAGCAGGCGCGCAAAUUACCCAAUCCCGACACGGGGAGGUAGUGACAAUAAAUACUGAUACAGGGCUCUUUUGGGUCUUGUAAUUGGAAUAAGUACAAUUCAAAUCUCUUAACGAGGAACAAUUGGAGGGCAAGUCUGGUGCCAGCAGCCGCGGUAAUUCCAGCUCCAAUAGCGUAUAUUAAAGUUGUUGCAGUUAAAAAGCUCGUAGUUGAAACUUGGGCCUGGCUGGCGGGUCCGCCUCACCGCGUGCACUCGUCCGGCCGGGCCUUCCUUCUGAAGAACCUCAUGCCCUUCACUGGGCGUGCUGGGGAAUCAGGACUUUUACUUUGAAAAAAUUAGAGUGUUCAAAGCAGGCCUUUGCUCGAAUACGUUAGCAUGGAAUAAUAAAAUAGGGCGUGCGUUUCUAUUUUGUUGGUUUCUAGAGACGCCGCAAUGAUUAACAGGAACAGUCGGGGGCAUCAGUAUUCAGUUGUCAGAGGUGAAAUUCUUGGAUUUACUGAAGACUAACUACUGCGAAAGCAUUUGCCAAGGAUGUUUUCAUUAAUCAGUGAACGAAAGUUAGGGGAUCGAAGACGAUCAGAUACCGUCGUAGUCUUAACCGUAAACUAUGCCGACUAGGGAUCGGGCGAUGUUCUUUUUCUGACUCGCUCGGCACCUUACGAGAAAUCAAAGUUUUUGGGUUCUGGGGGGAUUAUGGUCGCAAGGCUGAAACUUAAAGAAAUUGACGGAAGGUCACCACCAGGCGUGGAGC
rnacentral:rRNA from 1 species